CAAACCCAGAGCUUCUUGCGUGAAAAAGAUUAGAUAUCCUUGAGAAAGUACACUGCAAUGCCAUCACAAGAGGAAGACGGAAGAGAAAUGCAUCAGAAGGGAAAAUCAGAGAGAUUCAUGGUGGGUUCAUCAACCAUUGCUGGCUUUGAAGAUGAAGGGAAUCAAGAGCCAGAGAAUGCAGGUGGCCUCUGGAAGCUGAGAGUGACCCCCGGAUGAAAGCCAGCAAGCAAAUGGGGACCUCAGUCCAAUAAAUGUGUGGAACUAAAUUCUACCAACGACCAGAUUGAGCCUGGAAGCAACAGCUCGAUUUUAGCCUGAUGAGACCCCUGGUUGGAAUUCUAACUUACUGAACUGAGAUAAUAAAUGGGCGUUGUUUUAAGCCUCUAAAUAUGUAGUAAUUUGUUACAUCAGCAAGAGAAAACUGAUACUGAUACCCAGAACAUUUUUGUGGUUCACCAGUCACGGUGAGCUUAAGGGGAGUUGAAGUCAGGUGAUACACGGAAUUUUGGCUCAAGACCAUGUCACAAUGGGCCUAUUAGAUGUGAAAACACAGCCUUCCCACUGUUCAUCCUAUUUCCUAAGUAUAUUAUUAGAUUAGACAUACUCAGCUAAUUUCCAAAAUGGUAUGAAGACUAGCAUGGAAGAAGAGUCUAGAGCCUACCAAAUUAUAAGCUGAAGAAAUGCUAUAUCCCUGGGAAGUCAUAGAGAUGAGAUGCACUAUCAAAACCUUGAAAGAUACAGGAACACAUGGAAAUUCAUACAAAAUCUGUUAAAGGAUAAUGCGAUUGAUUUUUGCAAUAUUCUGAUUGUGGCAUUCUGAUUUGCAAUAUUCUGUGUGCACUGACUUCUCUCUAUAGUGAGAUAAUGAAGCAUAAAGAGGACUUGGGGGAAAAUCACAGAGCUGAAGCUGUGGGCAACAUUGCCUCGGAAAGGAUGCCCACAUUCUCCACUCCCUUCCUCCUCCAGACACGUUCCUCUUCACGCCUAUCUAAGGUCAAAAUUCUAUUAGUAUUUUUCCUGCUGAACCCAGCUGUAUCCAUAGCUCACUCUCAACGAAGUGUUCUAGCCUCGAAGGUGUAUAGGGACCAUAGUGACCCUGCCCCCAAAGCAACAACAAGAAAAAUAAAGACAAAAUAUAUGGAAUAGGUUUUUGAGAUCCUGGACAUCAGGGAACACGAGACAGUGGUCUCUCAGGGACAGGAAACAAAUGAGCCAUGCUGCCCUUCCCCAGGAAAGGAGGAAGACAAAUGCCGCUGUCUGAGAAAGGGAUUAAUUUAAAGCCACAUGGCCAUUUUACUGGAUUAGAUUAUGCAUGAAUUUAUCUGAAAUCUACUCAUUAGAUUUUUGUUUCUACUUCUUUCUCCACUUAUUUCCAGUUCCAGAUGCCAUAGGACACUUUUGUAUCAGUACUUCUGUGUCUUUCAUCUUUUGCCUUGAUGCUGGAAAAUAUCUGCAAUCAAGCAGGUCGUGAUCUGUCAUUGGCCUCUGUCACUUAAUAAUCUCUUGCUCCAAAAUGAGUUAGAUCUCUUAUGGAAAGACUGGACUGCCUUGAUUCGUUAUGAAUGAAUGCUCCCACCCUCUGGAAGUGAUGAGUUUGGUCCAUGUGCUUUGAGCUGUCACCCACUCUAAAUGAUUACGGAUCUGUUAUAUAGCAGAAAUCUGUUAUUACCCAAGAUCCACAAAGACAUUCUGAAAUGAGAGGUAUAGUUGUAUAACUGCAUUGGGGGUCCUGUUCAUGAAAAUAAUUGACACACCUCAUAUUUAUUUCUGAUGAAUCAAGAUACAAAAUAGUGAAAGGACAAGUGUCAAAAAUCUAGGGAGCAAAUUGUUCUUGUUUCUUUCUGGGAUAAAUUUUAGGCCAGUUUUGCAAGAGAAUCUUCUGGGAAUUGGGAUGGAGUCGUUAGUCUUUCAGACUAGGAUGUCAGCACGUUCAGAGAACACCUCCCCUGCAUGAGACCUAUUUAAACUUCCCCGAUUACACAGAGAUUUCAGAGAUUUUUGCUCAGUAGAUGAGUGAAUAGUAAAUAAUUAUGAUACUUCUGGGAAUCAAUUUGAAUUCACUCAUCACUCAACAAAUUCCAGGGAACCUUAAUAGUCUUGUUUGACCAGUUGUUCAAUCCUAAAAGGUCAAAGUCGAUCACAUUCAGUUUGAUAUGUCGUAUGAACUGUGUAUAGGAAUUGAUUCCACAGAGCAAGCCCGUACAUGCCAAGGAGGUUGUUACCACUGAUACCAUGGAAGUGAGUAGUUAAAACAGAAAAAUUGGCUACAACAGAAAAAGAGUGGACAUUUUAUUUUUUCAUAUCACCAAGUCAGAUGCUCUCUUUUCUCAUGGGAAAACUGCUUUAAAAACAUCUCUACUCUGGGAAUGGCUUUGGAAUUCACACACCAACGUUAAUACAGAAUGUCUUGGACAGUAUUAGAGUUAUUUUUAGUACAUGACAGAAGGCAUGCUGUCAGAAUUCUGAAAUUAUAAAUAGUAAUUCUUUCUGCAAUCAUAUCUGAGAUAAUAAGAAUAGGUAAUGUCCAUUCUUUGCAUCCAAUCUUGGUUUUUCACAAAUCUGAAAAUAGCGAUUCUAUCUUUGGAAAUAUAAAUUCAUCACAACAUUUACUAACAUGACUAAGAUUUGGUGCAAGAAGUGUCUGAUUUGAGCAAAUUAGAUGGAAUUAGAUCUCAGUGUAGAAACUUGAGU
rnacentral:lncRNA from 1 species